UCCUCAUUUGCCUGCUCUGUAUUCUCUAUACAAAACACACACGUUCACAUUGCCCACAUCGCAAUGCCCCCCCUUUAUAAGCCUGCACUGCACUGCACUGCAAUGGGAAUAUAUUAUACUUUCUCUACAAACCUCAAACAAACUCUCUCUCUCUCUCUCUCUCUCUCUCUGCAUAUAUACAUCUCUAUCCCUUUUCUUAACCUUUUUACUUUGAAAAAGGUUUUCAAGUUUUGCAUGACCCACCCCGUAUCAUUUCAUUGCAUCAUUUUGUUAAUCAUGUGGCAACGCAUUUUGCUUAAAAAAAAAAAAAAAAAAAAAAGGGCUCUCAAAGCUUCUCAAAAUGCUUCAAGUUUUCACGGGAUAGUUCGGGGGAGGCUUUCACAAAAUACAUUGAAUUGAAUCACAAUUCACCAUGCACAGAUGCAUAGCAAGAGGACAAAUCCAAUACUGUUUAUAGAGAGCAUUAACAAUCAAUUGCUCACUUCAUACUUCAUGUACGCUUGCUUACCUGUGCGGAUGGAUGAUAUGCUAUUCCAUUUGAUGAUGA